UACGUAGGGUGCAAGCGUUGUCCGGAAUUAUUGGGCGUAAAGAGCUCGUAGGCGGUCUGUCGCGUCUGCUGUGAAAACUCAGGGCUUAACCCCCGAACUUGCAGUGGGUACGGGCAGACUAGAGUGUGGUAGGGGAGACUGGAAUUCCUGGUGUAGCGGUGAAAUGCGCAGAUAUCAGGAGGAACACCGAUGGCGAAGGCAGGUCUCUGGGCCACUACUGACGCUGAGAAGGCGAAAGCAUGGGGAGCGAACAGG
rnacentral:rRNA from 1 species